AUGUGAGGGUGAUCUGGCUGCAACACCUGUCACCCAGCUGUUCACCAGGAUUGAUUGGGUUGAUCUGACUGACUAGACAGUUGUCCUCUUCCUCCCUCACCACU
rnacentral:sRNA from 1 species